GGUGCUAUAUAAGGAAGACACAAUUCAGUUUUCACCAUAUCCUCAAACAGCGACAGAAGAGUUCAUCAUCAACAAUGAUUCUUAAGUUGGCUCUGUUCGUCACGCUGGUAUGUGCCACCCUUGCAACGCCAGUGCCAGAACAAAAAGACUUUGUCCAACUGAUCGCAACCCCUGCUGCUCUGCCGCCCUGUCAUGGUCUUCUGGCCUGUAUACUUACGCGUACUACUUGGCCCCAAAUUGUAUAUACCGUUGGUCCUUUCAUACCGUCUUGAAUAACCUACUUGGCUGAAAUAAAACAUGCAUCACGUGGGUACAUAGUCGAUCAUGUAAACGUGACGGAUAUCAUAAAGAAACUUUUGUUUUCAAA